UUGACCUGUGAAACUUGCCAAU
rnacentral:siRNA from 1 species